AAAAAAGGUAAGCUACUAAGAGCGAAUGGUGGAUGCCUUGACUGGUAAAGGCGAUGAAGGACGUACUAGACUGCGAUAAGCUACGGGGAGCUGUCAAGAAGCUUUGAUCCGUAGAUUUCCGAAUGGGGCAACCCAAUGUAUAGAGAUAUACAUUACCUAUAUAGGAGCGAACGAGGGGAAUUGAAACAUCUUAGUACCCUCAGGAAAAGAAAUCAAUAGAGAUUGCGUCAGUAGCGGCGAGCGAAAGCGCAAGAGGGCAAACCCAGUGCUUGCACUGGGGGUUGUAGGACUGCAAUGUGCAAGAGGUGAGUUUAGCAGAACAUUCUGGAAAGUAUAGCCAUAGAGGGUGAUAGUCCCGUAUGCGAAAAACAAACCUUAGCUAGCAGUAUCCUGAGUAGGGCGGGACACGAGGAAUCCUGUCUGAAGCUGGGUCGACCACGAUCCAACCCUAAAUACUAAUACCAGAUCGAUAGUGCACAAGUACCGUGAGGGAAAGGUGAAAAGAACUGAGGUGAUCAGAGUGAAAUAGAACCUGAAACCAUUUGCUUACAAUCAUUCAGAGCCCUAUGUAGCAAUACAGGGUGAUGGACUGCCUUUUGCAUAAUGAGCCUGCGAGUUGUGGUGUCUGGCAAGGUUAAGCAAACGUGAAGCCGUAGCGAAAGCGAGUCUGAAUAGGGCGCUUAGUCAGAUGCUGCAGACCCGAAACGAAGUGAUCUAUCCAUGAGCAAGUUGAAGCUAGUGUAAGAACUAGUGGAGGACUGAACCCAUAGGCGUUGAAAAGCCCCGGGAUGACUUGUGGAUAGGGGUGAAAGGCCAAUCAAACUUCGUGAUAGCUGGUUCUCUCCGAAAUAUAUUUAGGUAUAGCGUUGUGUCGUAAUAUAAGGGGGUAGAGCACUGAAUGGGCUAGGGCAUACACCAAUGUACCAAACCCUAUCAAACUCCGAAUACCUUAUAUGUAAUCACAGCAGUCAGGCGGCGAGUGAUAAAAUCCGUCGUCAAGAGGGAAACAACCCAGACUACCAGCUAAGGUCCCUAAAUCUUACUUAAGUGGAAAACGAUGUGAAGUUACUUAAACAACCAGGAGGUUGGCUUAGAAGCAGCCAUCCUUUAAAGAAAGCGUAAUAGCUCACUGGUCUAGUGAUUUUGCGCGGAAAAUAUAACGGGGCUAAAGUAAGUACCGAAGCUGUAGACUUGCGCACAACUUAGAUUAUUUAAGUUUAGAAUAUGAGAAACUAAGUUAUAUGUUUAGUUAUAUUUUUACUGAUUUUUAUAGAGUAAAGAUAGAAAUAAAACUUAGUAAAAUCAGUAAAAAUAUUCUUAGACUAAAGUUAAGUAGUUUAAGUUGUGUGCAAGUGGUAGGAGAGCGUUCUAUUUGCGUCGAAGGUAUACCGGUAAGGAGUGCUGGAGCGAAUAGAAGUGAGCAUGCAGGCAUGAGUAGCGAUAAUUAAUGUGAGAAUCAUUAACGCCGUAAACCCAAGGUUUCCUACGCGAUGCUCGUCAUCGUAGGGUUAGUCGGGUCCUAAGUCGAGUCCGAAAGGGGUAGACGAUGGCAAAUUGGUUAAUAUUCCAAUACCAACAUUAGUGUGCGAUGGAAGGACGCUUAGGGCUAAGGGGGCUAGCGGAUGGAAGUGCUAGUCUAAGGUCGUAGGAGGUUAUACAGGCAAAUCCGUAUAACAAUACUCCGAGAACUGAAAGGCUUUUUGAAGUCUUCGGAUG
rnacentral:rRNA from 1 species